rnacentral:rRNA from 2 species
CUAACAAGGAUUCCCCUAGUAACGGCGAGUGAAGCGGGAAGAGCUCAAGCUUAAAAUCUCCGCGCAAGUUUUGCGCGGCGAAUUGUAGUCUAUAGAGGCGUGGUCAGCGUGGGCGCUUGGGGCAAGUUCCUUGGAAGAGGACAGCAUGGAGGGUGAUACUCCCGUUCAUCCCUGAGUGGCUCGUGCGUACGACCCGUGUUCUUUGAGUCGCGUUGUUUGGGAAUGCAGCGCAAAGUAGGUGGUAAAUUCCAUCUAAAGCUAAAUAUUGGUGCGAGACCGAUAGCGAACAAGUACCGUGAGGGAAAGAUGAAAAGAACUUUGAAAAGAGAGUUAAAGAGUACCUGAAACUGCUGAAAGGGAACCGAAUCGUUUCCAGUGUCUAUAAUCUGUGGCAUAUUUCAUUGGCGAGUGUGCGCGUGCGUGUGCUGUGGCAGUGGCUUUUUUGGCUGCGCUCGGUGUGUGUGCUGUGUGUGCUUGCUGGUGCCCUGUGCUGCGGUGGGACGUCAAGGUCAGUUCGUAUGCUGCGGGAAAUGGCUGCCGAGGAGGUAGGGCUUACGCUCCGCGUUUGUCUGUUAUAUCUUGGUGGACGAGUCGUCGCGGUUGGGACUGAGGUGCCUACAACGUGCUUUUGAGUGAGUUUGUGUCUCCGUGUGCGCCGUGUGCGGAUAGCUUGCUAUGCGUGUGUGGUUGUGUGUGGAUUGAUGCGGGCUUUAACUUGUCGCCGUUCGGGACGUUGACGAAAUGGAGCGAUCCGACCCGUCUUGAAACACGGACCAAGGAGUCUAACAUGUGUGCAAGUGUUAGGGUGUGGAAACCCCAGCGCGAAAUGAAAGUGAAGGGCAGCGCAAGUUGUCUGAGGUAGGAAACGUUGUGGGCUUCGGUCUGCGGCGUGGCACUAUCGACCGAUCAUGAACCUUCGUGGUGAAAGAUUUGAGUUUGAGCACAUAUGUUGGUACCCGAAAGAUGGUGAACUAUGCCUGAGUAGGGUGAAGCCAGGGGAAACUCUGGUGGAAGCUCGUAGCGAUUCUGACGUGCAAAUCGAUCGUCAAACUUGGGUAUAGGGGCGAAAGACUAAUCGAACCAUCUAGUAGCUGGUUCCCUCCGAAAUUUCCCUCAGGAUAGCAGCAACUUAUUUACGAUAGUUUUAUGAGGUAAAGCGAAUGAUUAGAGGAUUCGGGGAAGAAACUUCCUCGACCUAUUCUCAAACUUUAAAUCUGUAAGACCUGCAGGUUUCUUAAUUGAACUUGUGGAUGUGAAUAUCAA